rnacentral:tRNA from 1 species
CUUUUUGGCAGACUAUUGCAUUAAACUUAGAAUUUAACAUCAC